GAGGCUGUCCAGAGCGGCUGUGGAGGCUGGGAGUCCUGGACCGGGUCCCCUCUCAUGCCGCUGUUAGGAGCCGAGCAGGGACGGACAGUAACGAGGAUAGGCUCUCACCCUGCGGCGUUAUUACGAUCCAUGGUGUCCGUCGUGGGACGGGCCGCCUUGCGCGGAGGUGUCGGCCGGGGCUGCGCGCUUUCCGAGGCCUUCGUCCCGGCUCUCUGGCCUCGUCCGCCUCCGGAGGCGGCACCCUGAUCCUUGUGCGCGUUUCUACAAGGGGGAGACUGGGGCUGGGAGGGCGACAGUCAUCCUGAGGUCACCGCCCACUGUGCUUGUGGGGGUUCGGCUCUUCUCACAGAACCCGCUCCGUUCCCCGGCUCCUCAACCCGCUUCUGCUCACAGGAUCCCAUGGCGGCCGCUGGGCUCAUGGACCGGGCUCAGACGUGGCUGUACUUUUCUCCCAGGAGGAGUGGGGGCUCCUCGAUGAGGCUCAGAAAUGCCUGGACCACCACGUGAUGCUGGAGACCUUGGCGCUUCUGUCCUCACUGGGUAAGGCCCCCGCACCCACCCAGGCAGCUCUGGCUUUCCCACAAGCAGACAAAGGGUGGAGACUUCCUCUCGUGGUUCCCUUGCAUAUGCGUGUGGGAGGCAUUCCCAGGCUGGGUGCGCCCAGCCACCUCUCCCCAAGCAGCCCCAUUCGCUGCUGCUCUGCAGCCGUGCCUGUCCCUGGUCAGGACACUCUGUUCAGAUGCAUGGAGGUCUUCUUCCUUCCUCUUGCUGACAUUUUUUAGGGACCUGCCUAUGCCAAAAUUCGUGGGCACCACUGGUAGAGACUCCCAACUUUACAAGACUCUCCUGUGCCGUUCUCGUGAUUGUAGAAUGUGGGCUGUUGUGUUGGCCCGCUCUGGGGCAUGCUGUCCCCUCCCUGUCCCUGUGUUUCACCUGUGCUGGUGUGUGCCGGGCCCCAUGUAGAUGCUCACCGUGAGGAAGAGGGAGGGCCCUGGGUGCCUGACGGGAUGGAUGUUACUCCCAUCGGGGCCAAAGGGAAAAGGCUCUGGAGCUUGGGAGAGGGGAGAGGGUGUGUCAUCAAAACUGGCUAUGGGAGUUCCCAUUGUGGCUUAGCGGCUAACGAACCUGACUAGUAUCCCUGAGGACGUGGAUUUGAUUCCCGGCCUCGCUCAGUGGGUUAAGGAUCCAGCAUUGUCGUGAGCUGUGGUGUAAGUCACAGAUGCAGCUUGGAUCUGGCGUUGCUGUGGCUGUGGUGUAGGCUGGCAGAAUAGCUCUGAUUUGACCCCUAGCCUGGGAACCUCCAUGUGCCUCAGGUACAGCCCUAAAAAGACAACCCCCC
rnacentral:lncRNA from 1 species